rnacentral:rRNA from 1 species
GACAGAGGGUGCAAACGUUGUUCGGAAUUACUGGGCGUAAAGCGUGUGUAGGCGGUUUCGUAAGUCGGAUGUGAAAGCCCCCGGGCUCAACUCGGGAAGUGCACUCGAUACUGCGGAACUCGAGUAUCGGAGAGGUUGGUGGAAUUCUCGGUGUAGAGGUGAAAUUCGUAGAUAUCGAGAGGAACACCGGUGGCGAAGGCGGCCAACUGGACGAAUACUGACGCUGAGACACGAAAGCGUGGGGAGCAAACAGG